GACGAACGCUGGCGGCGUGCUUAACACAUGCAAGUCGAACGCUGAAGCUCAGCUUUUGUUGGGUGGAUGAGUGGCGAACGGGUGAGUAACACGUGAGUAACCUGCCUCCUUCUUUGGGAUAACGCCCGGAAACGGGUGCUAAUACUGGAUAUUCACUGGUCUUCGCAUGGGGGUUGGUGGAAAGGGUUUUUCUGGUGGGGGAUGGGCUCGCGGCCUAUCAGCUUGUUGGUGGGGUGAUGGCCUACCAAGGCUUUGACGGGUAGCCGGCCUGAGAGGGUGACCGGUCACAUUGGGACGGAGAUACGGCCCAGACUACUACGGGAGGCAGCAGUGGGGAAUAUGGCACAAUGGGCGCAAGCCUGAUGCAGCGACGCCGCGUGAGGGAUGGAGGCCUUCGGGUUGUGAACCUCUUUCGCUAAUGGUCAAGCCGCAACAAUGGUUGUGGUGAGGGUAGUGGGUAAAGAAGCGCCGGCUAACUACGUG
rnacentral:rRNA from 1 species